rnacentral:rRNA from 1 species
GUGGGGAAUUUUGGACAAUGGGCGAAAGCCUGAUCCAGCCAUUCCGCGUGCAGGAUGAAGGCCCUCGGGUUGUAAACUGCUUUUGUACAGAACGAAAAAGCUCUUUCUAAUACAGAGAGUCCAUGACGGUACUGUAAGAAUAAGCACCGGCUAACUACGUGCCAGCAGCCGCGGUAAUACGUAGGGUGCAAGCGUUAAUCGGAAUUACUGGGCGUAAAGCGUGCGCAGGCGGUUUUGUAAGACAGAGGUGAAAUCCCCGGGCUCAACCUGGGAACUGCCUUUGUGACUGCAAGGCUGGAGUGCGGCAGAGGGGGAUGGAAUUCCGCGUGUAGCAGUGAAAUGCGUAGAUAUGCGGAGGAACACCGAUGGCGAAGGCAAUCCCCUGGGCCUGCACUGACGCUCAUGCACGAAAGCGUGGGGAGCAAACAGGAUUAGAUACCCUAGUAGUCC